GCCCGCGUAGCUCAGUGGAUAGAGCAACUGCCUUCUAAGCAGUGGGUCAAAGGUUCGAUUCCUUUCGCGGGUA
rnacentral:tRNA from 1 species